rnacentral:lncRNA from 1 species
AGGAAAAUAGGCAGGAAAAAACGAUAAAAGGCUCGCCAUUAACAAACAGCUGGACGAGUAGGUGUGAUAUUCCCAUAACCAGCAUGCCCCAAGAAUUACCAUGGACUCAGUUCUAUUGUCUAGGUGUUCGAGAAAAAAAGUUCUAUUGUCUAGCAGAAAACUCAUUUGUACCAUGGACUCAGUUCUAUUGUCUAGGUGUUCGAGAAAAAAAGUUCUAUUGUCUAGCAGAAAACUCAUUUGUUCCAAGUAUGGUGAAAAUGCAUAAUAUACCAAAAGAAAAUUUUCCAACUUGUGAACAAAUGAGCUAAUUUUUGUU